rnacentral:rRNA from 1 species
UACGUAGGGUCCAAGCGUUAUCCGGAAUCAUUGGGCGUAAAGAGCUCGUAGGCGGCUUGUCACGUCGGGUGUGAAAGCCCGGGGCUUAACCCCGGGUCUGCAUUCGAUACGGGCAGGCUAGAGUGUGGUAGGGGAGAUCGGAAUUCCUGGUGUAGCGGUGAAAUGCGCAGAUAUCAGGAGGAACACCGGUGGCGAAGGCGGAUCUCUGGGCCAUUACUGACGCUGAGGAGCGAAAGCGUGGGGAGCGAACAGG